CUAAAAAUUACAAAAGAAAAAAAGAAAAGAAAAAAAACAACAUCCCCCAAGUAAAUCACACGCCCUGAUGAGAUCAUUUAGCGACUUUUAGGACAGCCAAUAGCUACUUUCCUUACCGAUGAGUUGGUAACACUGCAGGAAGUUGACCGCUGUCAACAGUAGCUAGCAGCUAGCGAUUACAGCGGUUACACACCCCUAAACGUCAACAUGGCUGAGGGGAAACGAGCCAAGACCUACCAUUUUCACCCUGAGUGGGAGCAAGAUUAUUUUUUUGUUUAUUCUCAUUCAAAGCCUGUUUGUUUGAUUUGCAAUGCAACGGUGGCAUUGGCAAAGAAAGGGAAUCUGGAGCGGCAUUUCAAAAUGGUACACAGGAGCUAUGAGAGGGAUUUCCCUGCAAAAACACUUUUACGUGCCACAAAAGUGCGGGAUUUGAAAGCACAGCUUGCAGCACGGCAGUCAAUCUUCACCAAACCGAAGACCCAGAGUAAGGCUGCAACUAUUGCUUCCUGUUCUGGAAACUACUGGUGGCAGAGAAGUAUCCCAAUCUCAGAAGAUGUGCUUUGAACCUGACAGCUCUUUUUGGAUCAACUUAUUUGUGCGAGUCUGCUUUCUCGCACAUGAACAUCAUCAAGUCCAAGAACAGAUCCACAAUGACUGAUGGUCACCUUGCAGCCUGCCUACGCCUUGCAACCAGCUCCUACACUCCUAACUAUGAAAAGCUAGCCUCCUCCUCCCAGUGCCAGGUCUCCCACUAAGGUUGCCGACCCAAGGCUCUUGGAACGUAUGGUUGAAAGCAGUCUGGGCAAUACUUAGAGAUUUGGGACUGAGCAGAACGAAGGGGACGCACAGGAACUGCAAAUACAUUACAUGAUAAGCAGAUUUUGUGAGCAGCUUGUAAGUAUUCACAUGAGAAGAAUAUACACUUGCUGGUUUGGCAUGUAAAAUAAAUGUAGGUUUACUGCUGUACUAACAACUGUGACUCACCAGACUGACGAAUACAAGCGCAAGCUGGAUGACAUCAGUGUAGGCCACUGAAUACAGACCUCCUAACAAAGUGUAGAUAAUGGCCACCGCUGACGAGAUCCAAACAGAAUAGGAAUAGGGCAAGUCCAGUAUCACGCUCAUAGUUAUUCCUGGUAGAUAGAAGUAUUUCAGCUGCUUGAAUAGCUUGCACAGAGCUGAUAUUCUUUCAAUUAAUAAGAAUGUGUUUUGUUUACCUAAACUAAACAGAGUGCAGGACACCCAUAGCAUAUCACCCAGUAGAGAUGGCAGUGCCAGACAACUACAUAGUAUGUGGCCAUACUUUUGCUGGAGUGGGUCCAUCAUGGUGACAUACAUCUUGUCCCUCAUUGGCUUGGCAAAGAAAAGACCACCUUGUAAACAAUAUGACAUAUUACUCAUCAUUUUUUGUUUAGUGUGGCAAUACUAUUUUUCAUUUUGGGUUGCAUAGAUACAGUAUAUCUACACAAAGGCACUACUGAGAUCAGCAUGGCUUACUUCAACUGUAAUGUUACCUAAAAUGAAGUUGAAGGAGUAUUGUAAAGGCAUAAGUGCCCAUACCAGCCCCCUGUUAGGUGUGUACACUGCCUCAGCCAGGCCCAGGAUAAACCCACCUCCAACCCAUGUAGCUGUAGAAGAACGACACACACACACACACACACACACACACACACACACACACACACACACACACACACACACACACACACACA